UACGAAGGGGGCUAGCGUUGUUCGGAAUUACUGGGCGUAAAGCGCACGUAGGCGGAUUGUUAAGUCAGAGGUGAAAUCCCGGAGCUCAACUUCGGAACUGCCUUUGAUACUGGCAAUCUAGAGUUCGGAAGAGGUUAGUGGAAUUCCCAGUGUAGAGGUGAAAUUCGUAGAUAUUGGGAAGAACACCAGUGGCGAAGGCGGCUAACUGGUCCGAUACUGACGCUGAGGUGCGAAAGCGUGGGGAGCAAACAGGAUUAGAACCCGUACGU
rnacentral:rRNA from 1 species